ACCCUGGCCGCCACCCCUGCCAUCUGCCGACACCACCCUCGACCGCGGCUCCCCAUCCCCAAUUCGCGACGGCGCACCAUCCUCGGCCACGAUCCGCGGCGGCGUGGCACCCUUCCCCAGAGCGGCCCCACCCCGCGCGAGCGCAUGGUUUCGUCCCGCACCGGCGGUGAGCACGGCCGCGCCUCCCAGCUGCGAUGGUGCAGGCCCCCAUCCACCUGACGGUGGCCUGCCUAGCGCGCCAUGACGUCAAGGCAGCGACCGAGAUCAUGGUGGCACGACGCGACCUACGCUGAAGAUGCCCCUCGGCGGCGGCGCGACCAUGGUACUCCGUGGAGGUGCUGGCGUGCGGUGAUCCAGAUGGAGUUUUGGCAGGGACAACCAUGAUGACCCGCAGCGGUGGCAGCAUCUUUUGCCGAGGCGGUGGUCGUGGAAGUCGACCUUCUUUGGCUGCAUCCUGCUCACUCGUUCCUCGCGUCGGCAUCUCCUGCUCAACGAUUUGGAACAUAAGGUUUGGCCCACCUACAGGCCCCCACAUUGAUGAGGCCAGCCGCGUGGCCCUCGACGCGCACAGAUUUGGUCACGAUGGGGCUUCAUCUGACUGCAGCCGCCCCCCCUAUUAAUUUUCAAUUUGGAACAUGUGACUAGAGGCAAGGAGGAUCCUACACCUACUGCUGCAGCUCCCCCAGGCUCCCCAUGUGUUCUAUGCUUGAUGAGUUAGGUUUUUACACUUUUAGAUCAAGCCUUUGACUAUGAAAUUUGAUUGUUUUUUUUUGCAGAUUUAGAAUACGACACAUAUCAAUUUUGUGUGCUUGCAUUUCUUGAUUGUUCAAAUUAUUCAUGCUUAGUUUUAUUCAUGCUUAGGUUUCUACGUAAUUUUGAUUUAGAAAAUUGAUGUAUCCCGCGAGAGACACCUGGUGAGUUUCUAUGCAUGUGGAUGGAUUGUUCUAUGCAUUUUUUGCAUGCUGAUCCGGAGGAAAGUAAUAGUUUUUAUAUUUGCAUGUAUAGAUUUAGAUGCAUGGUGAAACUUUGAUUAUGCUUAGUUGUAUUUGUUUCCACCCUAAUUGAUUUCAAAUUCUAAAUUUUGAAGAAGUCUGUAUACAUUGUGGAGCACUCUUUUAUGCACUGUAGAACAAUUCGACAUAUAUUGUUUGAGUAAUUAUCUCUAUGUACCUACGCAGUCUUGGAUUUUUGGUUCAGAUGCAUUGUGGAGCACUUUUCUCUACACUGUUAGAAUAAUUAUCUGCGCACAAUUCUUCUAUGCUUAGUUGUAUGGGGUUUAUCUAAUUUUUGGUUGCAGCUUGGAUGAAUAGGUGGUUUGCAUGAAAUGAAAAAGCUAUCAACGCAAGUUUCUAUGCUUGAUGAAUUAAGAUUUUACACAUUCAGAACCAUUCAGGUGGCAAGUUCGAUGGAAGAUAGCAAAGGAGCAGCACAACGCGGCCAAGGAUUUUUUUCAUUUUAUUUGUUUAAUUUAGUGUUCUUAUGCUUGUAUGCAUAAAUUUCUAUACACACAAUGGAGCACUUCUAUGCAUUUUUGUAUUCUUAAUGCUUGUGAGCAUAAGUUUCUAUACAUUGUUGGAGCAGGUCUAUGUUGUUUUUAUGCAACAAUAAAUUCACUUUUUAUUCAUCAAA